rnacentral:piRNA from 1 species
CUAGACACUGGAUUAUAGGCCUGACCU